rnacentral:rRNA from 1 species
AACGAACGCUGGCGGCAGGCUUAACACAUGCAAGUCGAGCGCCCCGCAAGGGGAGCGGCAGACGGGUGAGUAACGCGUGGGAAUCUACCCAUCUCUACGGAAUAACGCAUGGAAACGUGUGCUAAUACCGUAUACGUCCCUCGGGAGAAAGAUUUAUCGGAGAUGGAUGAGCCCGCGUUGGAUUAGCUAGUUGGUGGGGUAAAGGCCUACCAAGGCGACGAUCCAUAGCUGGUCUGAGAGGAUGAUCAGCCACACGGGGACUGAGACACGGCCCAGACUCCUACGGGAGGCAGCAGUGGGGAAUAUUGGACAAUGGGCGCAAGCCUGAUCCAGCCAUGCCGCGUGAGUGAUGAAGGCCCUAGGGUUGUAAAGCUCUUUCACCGGUGAAGAUAAUGACGGUAACCGGAGAAGAAGCCCCGGCUAACUUCGUGCCAGCCGCCGCUGUAAUAC